UACGGAGGAUGCAAGCGUUAUCCGGAAUUAUUUGGCGUAAAGCGUCCUCUGGUGGCACUUCAAGUCUGUCGUCAAAGACCGGGGCUUAACCCUGGAAAGGCGAUGGAAACUGAAAGGCUAGAGAGAGGUAGGGGUAGAGGGAAUUCCCAGUGUAGCGGUGAAAUGCGUAGAGAUUGGGAAGAACAUCGGUGGCGAAAGCGCUCUACUGGACCUCAUCUGACACUCAGGGACGAAAGCUAGGGGAGCGAAUGGG
rnacentral:rRNA from 1 species